CUCUCUAAAUCAUAACCUAAAUCUAAUUAGAGAGAGAUACGAAGAGGCUUCUCUCUCUUCCUCGUUCUCUCUCUUGUAUCUUUCACGAGAAAGAUGAUGAGUUUAAGCCUCGAUCUCCGUCGCCGAUUUCUUUCGGUAAUUUUGUCUCCGGUAUACUGCGGUCUAUUCGACGAGUAUAGCCGGCUUUUGCCUCCGGUGGCUCGCGCUCUCUUUGAACGGGGCUAUUCGGCUUUUGUCUCCGCGUUGCGUUUCUCUUCGAAGGCGGCGGCGGCUUCUCUCCGGGGUUCUCCCGGUAACGUUGAUCUACCUUUCCCGUUCUCCUAUUUCUAAUCGC
rnacentral:lncRNA from 1 species